rnacentral:rRNA from 1 species
GAUGAACGCUAGCGGCAGGCCUAACACAUGCAAGUCGAGGGGCAGCACGUCUUCGGAUGGUGGCGACCGGCGCACGGGUGCGUAACGCGUAUGCAACCUACCUCUUACAGUGGGAUAGCCCAGAGAAAUUUGGAUUAAUACCGCAUAGUAUACAGAUUCAGCAUUGGGACUGUAUUAAACAUUUAUGGGUAAGAGAUGGGCAUGCGUUCUAUUAGUUAGUCGGAGUGGUAACGGCACCCAAGACAGCGAUAGAUAGGGCCCGUCGAGAGGGGAGUCCCCACCACUGGUACGUGAGACACGGACCGAGACUCCUACGGGAGGCAGCAGUGAGGAAGU